GGGUUGUGAGGUUAAGCGACUAAGCGUACACGGUGGAUGCCCUGGCAGUCAGAGGCGAUGAAGGACGUGCUAAUCUGCGAUAAGCGUCGGUAAGGUGAUAUGAACCGUUAUAACCGGCGAUUUCCGAAUGGGGAAACCCAGUGUGUUUCGACACACUAUCAUUAACUGAAUCCAUAGGUUAAUGAGGCGAACCGGGGGAACUGAAACAUCUAAGUACCCCGAGGAAAAGAAAUCAACCGAGAUUCCCCCAGUAGCGGCGAGCGAACGGGGAGCAGCCCAGAGCCUGAAUCAGUGUGUGUGUUAGUGGAAGCGUCUGGAAAGGCGUGCGAUACAGGGUGACAGCCCCGUACACAAAAAUGCACAUGUUGUGAGCUCGAUGAGUAGGGCGGGACACGUGGUAUCCUGUCUGAAUAUGGGGGGACCAUCCUCCAAGGCUAAAUACUCCUGACUGACCGAUAGUGAACCAGUACCGUGAGGGAAAGGCGAAAAGAACCCCGGCGAGGGGAGUGAAAAAGAACCUGAAACCGUGUACGUACAAGCAGUGGGAGCACGCUUAGGCGUGUGACUGCGUACCUUUUGUAUAAUGGGUCAGCGACUUAUAUUCUGUAGCAAGGUUAACCGAAUAGGGGAGCCGAAGGGAAACCGAGUCUUAACUGGGCGUUAAGUUGCAGGGUAUAGACCCGAAACCCGGUGAUCUAGCCAUGGGCAGGUUGAAGGUUGGGUAACACUAACUGGAGGACCGAACCGACUAAUGUUGAAAAAUUAGCGGAUGACUUGUGGCUGGGGGUGAAAGGCCAAUCAAACCGGGAGAUAGCUGGUUCUCCCCGAAAGCUAUUUAGGUAGCGCCUCGUGAAUUCAUCUCCGGGGGUAGAGCACUGUUUCGGCAAGGGGGUCAUCCCGACUUACCAACCCGAUGCAAACUGCGAAUACCGGAGAAUGUUAUCACGGGAGACACACGGCGGGUGCUAACGUCCGUCGUGAAGAGGGAAACAACCCAGACCGCCAGCUAAGGUCCCAAAGUCAUGGUUAAGUGGGAAACGAUGUGGGAAGGCCCAGACAGCCAGGAUGUUGGCUUAGAAGCAGCCAUCAUUUAAAGAAAGCGUAAUAGCUCACUGGUCGAGUCGGCCUGCGCGGAAGAUGUAACGGGGCUAAACCAUGCACCGAAGCUGCGGCAGCGACGCUUAUGCGUUGUUGGGUAGGGGAGCGUUCUGUAAGCCUGUGAAGGUGUACUGUGAGGUAUGCUGGAGGUAUCAGAAGUGCGAAUGCUGACAUAAGUAACGAUAAAGCGGGUGAAAAGCCCGCUCGCCGGAAGACCAAGGGUUCCUGUCCAACGUUAAUCGGGGCAGGGUGAGUCGACCCCUAAGGCGAGGCCGAAAGGCGUAGUCGAUGGGAAACAGGUUAAUAUUCCUGUACUUGGUGUUACUGCGAAGGGGGGACGGAGAAGGCUAUGUUGGCCGGGCGACGGUUGUCCCGGUUUAAGCGUGUAGGCUGGUUUUCCAGGCAAAUCCGGAAAAUCAAGGCUGAGGCGUGAUGACGAGGCACUACGGUGCUGAAGCAACAAAUGCCCUGCUUCCAGGAAAAGCCUCUAAGCAUCAGGUAACAUCAAAUCGUACCCCAAACCGACACAGGUGGUCAGGUAGAGAAUACCAAGGCGCUUGAGAGAACUCGGGUGAAGGAACUAGGCAAAAUGGUGCCGUAACUUCGGGAGAAGGCACGCUGAUAUGUAGGUGAAGUCCCUCGCGGAUGGAGCUGAAAUCAGUCGAAGAUACCAGCUGGCUGCAACUGUUUAUUAAAAACACAGCACUGUGCAAACACGAAAGUGGACGUAUACGGUGUGACGCCUGCCCGGUGCCGGAAGGUUAAUUGAUGGGGUUAGCGCAAGCGAAGCUCUUGAUCGAAGCCCCGGUAAACGGCGGCCGUAACUAUAACGGUCCUAAGGUAGCGAAAUUCCUUGUCGGGUAAGUUCCGACCUGCACGAAUGGCGUAAUGAUGGCCAGGCUGUCUCCACCCGAGACUCAGUGAAAUUGAACUCGCUGUGAAGAUGCAGUGUACCCGCGGCAAGACGGAAAGACCCCGUGAACCUUUACUAUAGCUUGACACUGAACAUUGAGCCUUGAUGUGUAGGAUAGGUGGGAGGCUUUGAAGUGUGGACGCCAGUCUGCAUGGAGCCGACCUUGAAAUACCACCCUUUAAUGUUUGAUGUUCUAACGUUGACCCGUGAUCCGGGUUGCGGACAGUGUCUGGUGGGUAGUUUGACUGGGGCGGUCUCCUCCUAAAGAGUAACGGAGGAGCACGAAGGUUGGCUAAUCCUGGUCGGACAUCAGGAGGUUAGUGCAAUGGCAUAAGCCAGCUUGACUGCGAGCGUGACGGCGCGAGCAGGUGCGAAAGCAGGUCAUAGUGAUCCGGUGGUUCUGAAUGGAAGGGCCAUCGCUCAACGGAUAAAAGGUACUCCGGGGAUAACAGGCUGAUACCGCCCAAGAG
rnacentral:rRNA from 1 species